GACGAACGCUGGCGGCGUGCCUAAUACAUGCAAGUCGAACGAGAGCGCCCGGUGCUUGCCCUGGUCAAUCUAGUGGCGAACGGGUGAGUAACACGUGGGUAACCUGCCCAUCAGAGGGGGAUAACAUCCGGAAACGGAUGCUAAAACCGCAUAGGUCUUCGAACCGCAUGGUUUGAAGAGGAAAAGAGGCGCAAGCUUCUGCUGAUGGAUGGACCCGCGGUGCAUUAGCUAGUUGGUGAGGUAACGGCUCACCAAGGCCGGGAUGCAUAGCCGACCUGAGAGGGUGAUCGGCCACAUUGGGACUGAGACACGGCCCAAACUCCUACGGGAGGCAGCAGUAGGGAAUCUUCCGCAAUGGACGCAAGUCUGACGGAGCAACGCCGCGUGAGUGAAGAAGGUUUUCGGAUCGUAAAACUCUGUUGUUAGAGAAGAACAAGUGCUAGAGUAACUGUUAGCGCCUUGACGGUAUCUAACCAGAAAGCCACGGCUAACUACGUG
rnacentral:rRNA from 1 species